UCUGGUGGCUGAUGAAAUUCUACAAGUCUCAUCAGAUGAGGGCCUCUAUCUCCCUCUUGAGCUAAAAAUAGUCUUCAAUGUUGUGAUCGUGAUUUUUAUGGAUAUGGCAGCACUUUGACCAAUCACACCAAGAUUGGGUCUGCUCAUUCAUCUUACCAAGCCAUCGGAGGAUGUCCUGGUUCUUUAUCUCCAUCAAGAUCUGCCUUCCAGAUGUGUUCAGAGGCAUGAAGUCCUCGAACCACUGAGGACUCCAAGGGCAAUGGGGAGGACUCUUGUUGGACUUCUGCUUCUUCGGCUGGGGGGCUGCAUGGUCCUCCCUAGCCCUUUUUUAAUCUGACUUCUCUCUCCGUUUCUCUGUCAUCCCUUCCUCAUUGGUGAUGUACUUAUCGACUCGGGUGAAAUGCUUGGAUAAAUCAUGGGAAAACUUCUUCAAGAGAGAAAAGUAGAAAUUGCCUGCCUUCAACCCUUUCUUAAGGGUCACAUCAUGACUGAAUGGUCCAGAUUACAGACUUCCAAUAUGACCACUUUG
rnacentral:lncRNA from 1 species